UGCCAUCAACGUGGGGGCAGAGGGAGCC
rnacentral:sRNA from 1 species